CAGCAGCCGCGGGAAUACGUAGGUGGCGAGCGUUGUCCGGAAUUAUUGGGCGUAAAGGGAGCGCAGGCAGACAUAUAAGUCCAUCUUAAAAGUGCGGGGCUCAACCCCGUGAGGGGAUGGAAACUGUAUGCCUUGAGUGCAGGAGAGGAAAGCGGAAUUCCCAGUGUAGCGGUGAAAUGCGUAGAUAUUGGGAGGAACACCAGUGGCGAAGGCGGCUUUCUGGACUGCAACUGACGCUGAGGCUCGAAAGCCAGGGGAGCGAGCGGGAUUAGAUACCCCCGUAGUCCCUGUCUCUUAUACC
rnacentral:rRNA from 1 species